AAACCGUUUAAACGCUUUGGUCGAUGCGAUUUCUAUAGCCUGAAAGAGUAUUGUUAUAACAGUGAUACCGUACCGAAAGAAAGUUACAAACAAGUACCGGGACGAUGGAGAACGCGUCGAAACCUUGGUAAUCACCGAAGACCUCUUUGUAAAAUUCAUCCGUCAGACCAAGGAGUCCUCUGAAACUGCCCGAUAUGUCUCCGGUUAGAGCGCUUAUUCCCAGAACCAAUUCGAUAUCGGAUGAACCUGUACCGAGGAGAAACCGAUCAGCCUGUCCGAGUUGUAAUCGAUUACAUCAUAUCCCAAUUCAUCGCCGGCACGGAGAAAGCAUUCUUUCAGUGGCGAGCUGUAUGGAGCAGUCGUGACGUCCAGGUACCCUCCGUGGCCAUGAAAUCUGACGAGAAAAUCUGUGUCAAAUCGCGAAAUAGAGGAGGAGCGUCGAAAUCGAAAGUUUUCCUGUUACUUGUACCUAACGUCUUGAUCCAGGAGUCUACAAUUUUCAGACUUCGUAAAGUAUGGCAAUAUCUCUCGAUAACUCCAUCCGGGAUUGCCUUGCGCG